rnacentral:lncRNA from 1 species
UGCUCUCCCUUCGAAAGCUCUUCUCAAAGUUUUGCCUGUUCUUGUCUUCUUGCACCCUUCCUCCUUUGCCAUUUUCUUUUUGUUCUCCUUUCUGGGGCUAGUGUCAUGGCUAGAACCUCUUCUCGAGGAAGUCAGUCGGGGAACCCGACCGAUGAUUUUCGAUCGACCCCGGAGGUGGAGGUUUCUUUACUUUCAGGGGCAAACGUCGAACGGCUCAGGGAGCAAUACAGUAUCCCGG